GUCCGCGGCGCUUUUCACUUCUUCAGUCUUCAGCUUCUUCACAAAUUCCGCAGCUCACCCUCAACAGUCACUGCCGCCGAUCUGCCAAGCUCACGUGUCCAGCUUAGCCAGCAACCGCCGUCCGCCGAUUCAGCAAUCCCGGACCAAGGGAUUUUCUCCUUCAGCGUUUAUAAAGCGCAACCGGUCCACCUGAACAUAUCACCUUUACCUCAGUUUAACUAACGAUGUCCUCCAUCGGUGGCACUCCAGUCCGACACCGACAAGUGCAACUCAACUCCAAAUAAUUUCAUGGCACCACCAGUAUCUACAUCCCAAACUGUGAGUUUUACUAAUAAAUAAGAAUACUUCUGAAAUGUGGGAUCACUUCACUAAAAAUGAUUGUGAGAAUGGGAUGAUGUGACUGCUUCAUGUAAUUAUUGUGGGACUAUUCUUGCUUGUCCGAGUAGGAGAGAUACUAGUUGUCUAUGUAAUCACUUAAGUAGAUGUAAAAAUAUCCUUUGAAUGUGGUGGACAAGAGAGAAAAGACCUUAGUUUUUCAACACAUUUACGUGACCAAUCAAGCAGUAUUCCAACCAUGUACAAUCUUCACUAUUGUCAUGGAAAUUCGAUCAAAAGUGCUUCAAUUGGCUGUAGCUAAAAUGGUCAUUAUCGAUGAGUUACCCUUUAGUUUUGUUGAGCGUGAGGGGUUCCGCAUUUGAUGAGGUGGUACAACCCCGUUUAAAGUACCCUCCGUAAAACUGUGGCUAUGAUUGUUUUAAAUUUAUAUUGAAGAGAGUCAAAAGUUGAAGAAGUUUUUUAGUAAGUUUUCUCAAAGAGUUUUCUCACAUUGAUACAUGGACAAGUUGUCAAAACCUCAUUAUAUGUGUCUAGGGCUCACUUCUUGAUGAUGAUUGGCAACUACAGAAAAAGAUUAAACUUUUGCCCAGUUACAAGUAUAAAGGUUAAUAAUUGGCAAGCAGUUGAGAGUUGUUUGCUUUAUUGGGGUAUUUCUAAUGUUUUCACGUCACUGUAGAUAAUGCAAGUUCUAAUGAUGUUGGAAUAAGCUAUCUUGACUCGAUUAGCAGUUGGAAGGGAAGUGUCUUGG